AACUUGGUUGGGUUGUGCUGGCUUUUCGGAGCAUGUGCACGCCUAGCGCCAUUUUUACCACCUGUGCACAUUUUGUAGAUUUGGAACAAUUCUCGGGUUUACUCGGUUUGAGGAAUGCUAUGCCAAAAGCUUAGCUUUCCUUGUGUUUCAAGUCUAUGUUUUUAUAUACCCCAUACGAAUGUAAUAGAAUGUCAUUAAUGGGCUUAUAGCCUUUAAAUUAAUACAACUUUCAACAACGGAUCUCUUGGCUCUCGCAUCGAUGAAGAACGCAGCGAAAUGCGAUAAGUAAUGUGAAUUGCAGAAUUCAGUGAAUCAUCGAAUCUUUGAACGCACCUUGCGCUCCUUGGUAUUCCGAGGAGCAUGCCUGUUUGAGUGUCAUUAAAUUCUCAACCUUUCCAGCUUUUACAAGUUGGAUUGGCUUGGAUGUGGAGGCUUUGCAGGCUUCUUAAGAAGUCAGCUCCUCUUAAAUGCAUUAGCGGAACCUUUGUGGACCAGCUUUGGUGUGAUAAUUAUCUACGCCAUGGUUGUAAAGCAGCUUUAUAUGGGGUUCAGCUUCUAACAGUCCAUUUACUUGGACAAUUUCUGACAUCUUGACCUCAAAUCAGGUAGGACUACCCGCUGAACUUAAGCAUAUCAAUAAGCGAGAGAGAAG
rnacentral:rRNA from 1 species